rnacentral:rRNA from 1 species
UGGGGAAUUUUGGACAAUGGGCGAAAGCCUGAUCCAGCAAUGCCGCGUGUGUGAAGAAGGCCUUCGGGUUGUAAAGCACUUUUGUCCGGAAAGAAAUCCUUGGCUCUAAUACAGUCGGGGGAUGACGGUACCGGAAGAAUAAGCACCGGCUAACUACGUGCCAGCAGCCGCGGUAAUACGUAGGGUGCAAGCGUUAAUCGGAAUUACUGGGCGUAAAGCGUGCGCAGGCGGUUUGCUAAGACCGAUGUGAAAUCCCCGGGCUCAACCUGGGAACUGCAUUGGUGACUGGCAGGCUAGAGUAUGGCAGAGGGGGGUAGAAUUCCACGUGUAGCAGUGAAAUGCGUAGAGAUGUGGAGGAAUACCGAUGGCGAAGGCAGCCCCCUGGGCCAAAUACUGACGCUCAUGCACGAAAGCGUGGGGAGCAAACAGGAUUAGAUACCCUGGUAGUCCAGCGCCCUAAACGAUGUCAACUAGUUGUUGGGGAUUCAUUUCCUUAGUAACGUAGCUAACGCGUGAAGUUGACCGCCUGGGGAGUACGGUCGCAAGAUUAAAACUCAAAGGAAUUGACGGGGUCAUAGCUGUUUCC